CUAACUGCUGCUUCUUGACCUGCAUACAGGUUUCUCAGGAGACAGAUGUUGGGUUAGCCCCUUCCUCCCAACCCACUGCCCAGUCUUGUGACGUCAUGACCGUGCGCGCAUGCGUGCUCAGUGGCUUAGACGUGGCCAGUUCUUUGCAAUCCCAUGGACUGUAGCUCGCCCGGUUCCUCUGUCCAUGGGGUUUCCCAGGCAAGAAUACUGGAACGGGUUGCUGUUUUAUCAGAUGAUUCCAAAACACACCAGUUUGGUCUUCCACCGCCCCAGAGUUCCUGCCCUUUCAUCCAGUCUACAACAACUGCCAGAUGUAAUCGGGGGUGAUUUUCGGGAUCCACAUGGCUCAUGGAGACUAGGGAAAUGAUGUUAGACACAAAGAAAACUGGAGCGAUUUUCUUAUUCAAGUUCAAAAUAGGUCCUACAUAAAGCAAUGGAGACAAGCCCCAACAUCAGUAACACAUUUGGCCCAGAAAUGGCUAAUGUACAGUGCUAUGGUGGGUCAAGUUUUGCAAAAGAGACAAGCACCUUGAAGAUGAGGAAUGCAGUGGCUGGCCAUCAGAAGUUGCAAUGACCAAUUGAGAGGAUCAUCAAAGCUCAUCCUCUUACAACUACAAGAGAAAUUGCUGAAGAACUCAAUGUGGACCAUUCUAUGGUCUUUUGGCAUUUGGAGCAAAUUGAAAAGGUGAAAAAACUUGAUGAGUAGGUGCCUCGUGAGUUGACCUCAAUACAAAAAUAAAAAUCAUUUUGUUGUCUUUUCUUAUUCUACGUAACAACAACAAACCAUUUCUUGAUCGGAUUGGACAUGCAGCGAAAAGUGGAUUUUAUACAAUAACCAGCAAUGACCAGCUCAGUGGUUGGACCAAGAAGAAACUCCAAAGCACUCCUCAGAGCCAAACGCACCAAAAAAAGGUCAUGGUCACUGUUUGGUGGUCUGCUGCCAGUCUGAUCCGCUACAGCUUUCUGAAUCCCAGUGAAACCUUUACAUCUGAGAAGUAUGCUCAGCAAAUCGAUGAGAUGCACCCAAAACUGCAACGUCUGCAGCUGGCAUGGUUCAACAGAAAGGGCCCAAUUCUUUUCCAGGACAAUGCUCGACCACACAUCGCACUACCAAUGUUUCAAAAAUAAAAUAAAUUGGGCUACGAAGUGUUGCCUCAUCCAUCGUAUUCACCUCAGCUCUUGCAAACCAACUGCAACCUUUUCAACCAUCUCAACAACUUUUAGCAGGGAAAAUGCUUCCACAACCAACCAGAGGCAGAAAAUGUUUUCCAAGAGUUCUUCAAAUCCCAAAGCACAGAUUUUUACACUACAGGAAUAGACAAAUUUAUUUCUCAUUGGCAAAAAUGU